AAUCGGUGAUGAACUCUAUCCCGAAGCUGAUUACCUGAAGAAAAAACCACAUACGGAUUCGGCUUCUGAGAU
rnacentral:snoRNA from 1 species